CAGGGCCUAACACAUGCAAGUCGAACGAAGGCUUCGGCCUUAGAGGCGCACGGGUGCGUAACGCGUGGGAAUCUGCCCUUGGGUUCGGAAUAACUCGCCGAAAGGCGUGCUAAUACCGGAUGAUGACGUAAGUCCAAAGAUUUAUCGCCCAAGGAUGAGCCCGCGUAGGAUUAGCUAGUUGGUGAGGUAAGAGCUCACCAAGGCGACGAUCCUUAGCUGGUCUGAGAGGAUGAUCAGCCACACUGGGACUGAGACACGGCCCAGACUCCUACGGGAGGCAGCAGUGGGGAAUAUUGGACAAUGGGCGAAAGCCUGAUCCAGCAAUGCCGCGUGAGUGAUGAAGGCCUUAGGGUUGUAAAGCUCUUUUACCCGGGAUGAUAAUGACAGUACCGGGAGAAUAAGCUCCGGCUAACUCCGUGCCAGCAGCCGCGGUAAU
rnacentral:rRNA from 1 species